rnacentral:misc_RNA from 1 species
GAUGAAGAACGCAGCGAAAUGCGAUAAGUAAUGUGAAUUGCAGAAUUCAGUGAAUCAUCGAAUCUUUGAACGCACAUUGCGCCCAUUAGUAUUCUAGUGGGCAUGCCUGUUCGAGCGUCAUUUCAACCCUUAAGCCUAGCUUAGUAUUGGGAAUCGACUUUACUGUCGUUCCUCAAAUUCAACGGCGGAUUUAUAGCAAUCUCUGAACGUAGUAAUUUUUUUCCUCGUUUUUGAAAUACUAUAAUCCUCAGCCGCUAAACCCCCAAUUUUUUUAUGGUUGACCUCGGAUCAGGUAGGAAUACCCGCUGAACUUAAGCAUAUCAAUAACGGAGGA